AGCGAACGCUGGCGGCAGGCUUAACACAUGCAAGUCGAGCGCCCCGCAAGGGGAGCGGCAGACGGGUGAGUAACACGUGGGAACGUACCCUUUGGUUCGGAACAACCCAGGGAAACUUGGGCUAAUACCGGAUAAGUCCGCGAGGAGAAAGAUUUAUCGCCGAAGGAUCGGCCCGCGUCUGAUUAGCUAGUUGGUGUGGUAACGGCGCACCAAGGCGACGAUCAGUAGCUGGUCUGAGAGGAUGAUCAGUCACACUGGGACUGAGACACGGCCCAGACUCCUACGGGAGGCAGCAGUGGGGAAUAUUGGACAAUGGGGGCAACCCUGAUCCAGCCAUGCCGCGUGAGUGAUGAAGGCCCUAGGGUUGUAAAGCUCUUUCGGUGGGGAAGAUAAUGACGGUACCCACAGAAGAAGCCCCGGCUAACUUCGUG
rnacentral:rRNA from 1 species